UUACCUCACAGUAGGAAUUGGAAACAACUUAAUUUACUUGGAAACCACAUUCUGAUAAAGCAAGGCACCUGAACUUGCUGUGCUAUACUCUCAACCAGAAGAUUAAAGAGUCAGCCAACAUGGACAGAGAUAGAUAGCGGAACUGACAGGAACAGAAAACCAAAUGCCGCAUGUUCUAGCUUAUAAGUGGGAGCUAAACAUUGAGUACACAGGGACACAAAGAAGAAAAUGACAGACACUGAGGCCUACUUGAUAGUGGACAGUGGGAAGGAGGGUAAGGACUGAAAAACUACCUGUCAGAAUACCCGGGAGAAGUUUCCUUUCCCUAAAUAUACCUGCAAUUUUCAAGUCCUUUUAAUUCACGCCUUUAAAUG
rnacentral:lncRNA from 1 species